rnacentral:rRNA from 1 species
UACGAAGGGUGCAAGCGUUACUCGGAAUUACUGGGCGUAAAGCGUGCGUAGGUGGUGAUUUAAGUCCGUUGUGAAAGCCCUGGGCUCAACCUGGGAAUUGCAGUGGAUACUGGGUCACUAGAAUGUGGUAGAGGGUAGCGGAAUUCCUGGUGUAGCAGUGAAAUGCGUAGAGAUCAGGAGGAACAUCCGUGGCGAAGGCGGCUACCUGGACCAACAUUGACACUGAGGCACGAAAGCGUGGGGAGCAAACAGG